GCCGCGGGAGGCCGAUUGCAAGUGUCGACGAGCAAUCGGAAUGCACUAACAGGUUCACACGUGAGCGGCGCGGCGGCGCGAGGCGAGGGCGUAGCUCCGUAGAUAGCGCCCUACCACCGUGACCGGAGAUAGCGAUACCCAAGUCAGCCAAGCUAGGGGUUGUAGAAAAGGAAAGCAAAAGGAUCAAACUUGUAAUAAUCUUGUGAUGAUUGAUUGUAUUCGGAAGUUCAAAUGUAUUUGAAAGGAAAAGAAAUGUAAAUAA